rnacentral:rRNA from 1 species
UACGAAGGGGGCGAGCGUUGUUCGGAAUUACUGGGCGUAAAGGGCGCGCAGGCGGCCGUUGAAGUCAGGCGUGAAAGCCCCGGGCUCAACCUGGGGAUUGCGCUUGAUACUCGAUGGCUGGAGUUCGGGAGAGGAGAGUGGAAUUCCCAGUGUAGAGGUGAAAUGCGUAGAUAUUGGGAGGAACACCGGUGGCGAAGGCGGCUCUCUGGACCGAAACUGACGCUGAGGCGCGAAAGCGUGGGGAGCAAACAGG